rnacentral:tRNA from 1 species
GUUCCUGUAGCGCAAUGGAUAGUGCGUUGAAUUUCUAAUCCAAAGGUCGUGGUUUCGAAUCCCACUUGGGAUG